CAUUUGGCUGUUUUCACAGCCAUUAAUUCAAAUACAAGCAAGAAGG
rfam:Manacus vitellinus contig45891, whole genome shotgun sequence.